rnacentral:lncRNA from 1 species
AGGAACCCCUGAAUAUUUAGCUUGUUGGUCAGAAGUGCUGGUGGCCUUGGAACUCAUAAGCUUGUGGCUAGUUUCUGAGGUGAGAGGUCUUGUGAAGGACUGUGCCCUCAGCCUGUGAAGUCUGCCUAACUCUGGCUAGUCCAUCGCAAGUCACUGCACACGUAUUAAUUCAAUCAGCUCUAUGGUUAACCCAGGCACAACAGGAAUACAACCUUUUACUACAGAUGUGGGAUUGUUCAUGUCAUCUACUAAUGGAAGGCACACAGCUUUUUGAC